UGGUCAUAUCUGAUGUACUAAAAUCCAGGUUGUUCUUCACCAGAACAAACAUACUUGUUUAUUGUUUAGGUUUAGGGUCAUUGGAGAUGGCGAUCGUGGCCGGAUGUAUUCUCUUUGGAGUAUGAUGCUAGGGUCCCCAUAAACAAGUGUUCACAACUUCAGUUAUGAAGAUAUAUCUCAAGACAGAGGAGGGGACCAAGGGACUAAGGGUGGCAUGUGGAAACUGAAACAGUUCUAGCCAACACGACAUGGCGUGGAUUGAACUUGAAUCGACGAGCUAUGUGCCAGUUAUCGCUCUUCUAAACACAUCAACCAGUGCACCAAAACUAGCUUCUUUCUUCCUUGGGAGAUAGAUGGAAAUUGUGGUCAUCAACAGCUCUAGCACACACCGAGAGUGCAUUGAACUGGGCAAGGAUUAGUUCCUGUAUAAUGGCACAUUGGCACUACUGUAAUGCAUAAGGAUUUGUUCUCACAUUUGAAGUACAGGUAAUGUAAAUUUUGUUUGUAAUUUUUAUGUACGAAUAAUUGUGAGUUCUUUAUCUUUUACAUUUGCCUUAAUAUUAUUGUACAUGUUUGAAACAUGUUUGAACAACUAUAUAUCUCAAUUAAAUAGAGUUUACCUAUGUGAUAU
rnacentral:lncRNA from 7 species